rnacentral:misc_RNA from 1 species
GCACACGCACACGGUUUGAAAGGGAGAUAGACGCGCGCGUGCACCGCCACAAUCGUGCCGCUGCCCUCAUAGAUGUAUUUUCGCCCUGCAUCGUCCGUGUGAAUCCUUGUCCUGCUUGUGUGUCCGUGUUGCUGUGGCUUUGCUGGUGUGGUGGUGGUGCUCGCUGUGCGCUCUACUCUCCCCACACACACGCAAGCCAUCCCUCCCCCUCUCUGCGUGCACGCCUGCGGCAUUGUAGCUCCCCUCUUGUUAUUGUUUUCGCAAGCAGGGGCGGUGUGGGCGCUCUCUGAAGCUGUUUUCGCAUGUAUGGAUGUACACUACCUCACCAACACCGCCACCCCCGACUUCAACUCAUCGCCCACCACCAACGCCAUCAUAGCCAUUGGCCCCCUCCUCUCCCUCCGACACACAAACACACACUCGCAACCUGCAGUCACUGAGCUCCUGUUGCGUUCUUACAGCUGUUCUUGUCACGCUUUUCAGUUCGCUUCUUCUGUUGCCCCCCCCACCCCCGAUCACUGCACCGCAGGGUUGCGUGCUUCUCCUCGAAUAUCCCCAUCGCAUCGACGGCACUGUGUGCGCGCCCCUCCUCUUCCUCCCUCGUUUCCUUCAAUCGACUGUCGGCUGAGACCCAUUCUCUGGCUGUGCGAGCAAGAUGCACACCUCCAUGGAGACGGCGCCUAAGAUGGCGUUGCGAGAGCCGGACGCCGUGCGGUGCGCACCGCAGAGACCAUUCAACGAGUCUUUGCAGGCCGAGGCGAUCACUUACCUCAUGCACGAGCGGGAAGCCGAUGCGUCGGCGGAGCUGUCAAAGGGUGGCCUGCACUCCUUGGCGAUGCGCCGAGAGCAGACUCUGGUGCCGCCUGAGCUGCUAAUGGAGCUGAAAGACGGCGAGCAAGCCGACGCAUCCGUGGCACUGCCGGAAAAGCUGAACCCGUGCACGUGCACCACCGCUGCGUUCGACGAGUGGCUCCGCGCCGUCGUGAAGUCGAUUCCUGCCCCAGCUGAGGCGGCGGACGCAGUGCAGCGCAGGAACUGUUGUGGCUCUCGCACCAUCUGUGGUCGAGCGAGGCCUGGCGGCGUUACAGGGGUGUCCCGUCAGCAGGCCCUCUACAGGGCACUGGAGGUGCUCGAGGCGGCCACGCGUUUGCUGCAGCGGCACGCCGUACUCUGCCGCGGCCGAAGCCGCCUUCUGCACGCCUACUACGACGCGCUCGAGGAGGACAUCCACCAGCAUGCAGUGUCCGUGUCGGCAUCGACAGCAACGAGAGGCACCGUCCAACCCACGGCGGAAAUACAGCUUCAGCAGCUGCUGCCGCCGGAGCAGCACAAGUAUUCUCCGUUCCACUACCACCUGCGCUUGUACAAACGCGGCGCGCCGCUUCAUCACUAUACACAGGAGCAGGAGAAACUGCAAAGCCGUUUGGAGAAGGUGUACUACGUGCUGCUGAAGCUCGAGGAGGUGGAGGGGUUAAGCAACUCGAUUCUAGUCGAAGGUCAGGCGACGUCGCUGCUGGCUCAGCAGCGGCGGCAGAGCACGGACGCUCUGCAGGGCGGCAGCACAAAGGCGGGGUCCAUAAUGCGCGCCAACGUGAGGAAGGACGGCAUAGGUGCAGGGAGCAGCGCGGACUUACAUGAUGCACUCACGCUCACCGGCGGCGGCGGCGGCGGUGGCGCGCGCGGAGAUGGAGAAAGUGAGCCCGCGAUGAACGAGCCGACUUUGCAGUUUUCGCGACGGCUUGUCGGAAUGGAGCGGCGGGUGCGACGGCUGCGGCAACAGCUGCGCCUGCCGCUUCCUGUGUCGGAGGUGACGUCUCGCCUGCGCAACGAGCUCAUUCUCUCCUUUUCCGCCCGUGUUCUGGCGCUGCGGGAGCCCGCUCCGUUCACAUCCGAGAUCUACGUGACCUCCGCCGCCCCUGCCGCGUCGCCGUCGCCACAGGCCGCCCCACGGCCCCCUGGCGACGGCGCACAUCAUCAGAGCUCGCACUCCAUCAGCGCCUUCGUCGAGUGGUACGUUCAACGUGUCAUGGACCCGCUCGCCAUCUCGCAGCUUCUCAGCAUCGUCCCGCGGGAAUAUGUGGUGACGACCACGUGCCGCCUUGUCUACGCAUGUGAGGCGCACGCCUCGCUACGCUCGUCGCGCGCUCUCCCAGACCUGGGCCCCGUGCUGCUGCGUGCUGUGGCCGAAGGCCGCGCCGACGCCGUGGCGCAGCUGCUUCUCUCCUCAAGCGUUUCCUACGGCAGCGUCCUUUCCCACCCGGUGGACUGUCACACGUGCUUCUUCGCGGGCCUCCUUGGCGGCCAGAUCGACGUGCUGGCACGGCUGGUGGAGCAGCAGAGCUGGAAUGUGAACGCGCUGCACGUGCUGCUCUUCAUGAGCGCCCCAUGGAACAUAGCCGCGGCACCGACAGCGGUGAUGUCGUCGCGCGGGUGCUACGUAUACCAGCAAGCGCUGGUGGAGCGCGUACAGGCGUUCCUCAGCGUAGCAGAGCAGGUGCUUGCGGCCCGCAGUCAGGAGCCCGCGUACAAGUUGCCUCUCUCCUUGGAAGAGAACGCCACGGAUGCAGCGAGCAUGAGCACCAUCGCCGGCGGCGCCGACUACGAGGCCGACGAGUCGGCCCUCGCAGCGCUGCGCAAAGCCCAGCUACUCGACGUGAGCGCAGAGGGUGAGAAGCUGCUCGCUGCCUUGGGCUGUUUCCUCGGUAGUGCCGCGGCGUCGGCCUCCAUCAACGAUGAUGCACUGCGCGGUGGGCGUCACGGCUCUCAGCGCUCCACCCACGCCGGCAAGCCAGUGACGACAGCAAACGCGUCGAUGGCACGCGGCGGCGGAAUGAAGAAGAAGGCGGAAGACGCCAGCGACGCCGACGACGACGGCAUCACCGGCUCCACGGGUGUCUCGGCAUUCGGUGCGCUGUCGAUGUCAGCCGCGUCCCGAGCAGCUCCCCCGCUGCCGCCGGUGUUUCUCAAGGGCGCUCUUCAUCGCUUACAACUCUUCCUUGCAGUGCGCAACGCCAUGCUGCAGUAUGAGCGGCAGCGACAAGACGCACAAUGGGAGACGCUGCUGGGCAAAGUCAAGGCACGGCCGAGCAGCGGCGACGGCGCCUCCUCCGCGGCCGCAAGCACCAUGCACGGGCUCGGGAGCAGCGGCAAGAAUUUAGCUCGGCUGCACGCCAAGGCGCCCCCGCUCCUGCAAGGCGCGGCUGCCGCGAACCCUCGCACAGACCACAGAGAAGCGCCGCUCGCCUCUGCAGUGGCGGCCCCAUAUUCCUUCGUGCAGAUCCUGCAGCAACAUCAGCUGGACGCCUUGACUGCGGGCGCGUUGUGCCCACUGCGCUGCCAGAUGUGCCCAGCAUUCACGACGCCGCAGCUGCAGCGCGUAGAUGCGUGGAGCUAUGGCCCGUUGCAGCCCACCACCGCCAUUACAACCGCGUUGGGUACCGCGCGCGGCACCGGCAACGAGGGAGGGGCGAAGCACUCCAGCAGGGAGCUCAUCUCUCUCGCCGAACGGGUGAACACGCUGAUUGGGAUUGGGGAAGACGAUUGCCGUCCCGACGAAAACUUGCGUGGGCGCCUCAACCGCAGCCUGAGCUCGCUGUCCCCGCGUAGCCGGCCCAUCACGGCGCUCCUCAUGCGGUCUGACACGGCCAUCGACAUGAUGGCCAGCUCGUGGUACGUGCACGCAAAUAUCAGCCAGGCCAAUUUCGUGGAAGAGCAUGGGCACUACGGUAGCAGCAGCAACGGCAAUGGGGAACGUCAAACCGCCCGCGGAGCUCACCUUCACCGGCUCAUGAAUCCGUGGCAGGCGCGCAGUGCCACCGGCUUGCUGAUGUCAGCCCUGCCGUUUCGCUACUCGCUCUCCAUGCCGCUAGAGGAUGUGCGUCGAGCCGCGCAAGAUGCAAAGCAGCGGCGAGCACUGCGCACCCUGUACGGUAGCUCCGCGGCCGGGGCGGCGGACAAGAGCGUCUCUGACCACGACGACGGCGGCGACAGGUCGGACGACCACCACCCCCGGCGCGGCGGCACUGGUACCGCAGCUGAGAACCUGGCGAGUCUCUACGUCCAUCGUGCAACGCCGCCGCCAGCCAAGCCCAGCUUCUACUAUGAGGUCCAGAUGUCAGUGGAGUAUCUUGUAGCCAUGCACGCGGCCGAUUACCUUGGUGCAACGCCGCUCGCCAUCGGCAGCGAAGCGCUCGCACGUGGCGCGAGCAGCCCUCUCUCCGAGGACGCCAUGCACCGACUGUGCGAGAAUUGUGUGAUAGUCGGGCUGUGCAACCCCAUCACCGCCGCUCAGGCGAACGGGUGCACGCACAGCCCCUCUCAGCCGUAUGUCGUGACGCAUCUAGGCCACGAAUGUGGCGCGGGGGGUGCGGCACAGGAUAAGGAGAGGGGCGGAAGCGGGAGCGGCGCCUGGUCGGCGGGUGUGUCGGUAUCCGUGAUUGCCCACGAAAAAGUGGCGGCGUCACGCCUGCUGUCGGCUUGCGUUACUGCGCACGCCUCGCCAGCAACGGCAACGGCAGCGGUGGUGGAACCCGGUGAGGCAUCGACAACACCGAGCGACGACGACGCCGAUAUCGAUGUUCUCUACUUGGGUGUGUGGAAGCAUCAGCGAAACAGCGUUCGUGCCGUCACGGCGAUGCAAGCAUCGCCCCACCACGUGGACGGAGAUGCUGCGGACGCUUGUGCAAACGCCGCCCCCGUAUAUCUGCGGCUGGAACUGCCGCGCUGGUCGCAUCCGGCGCCGGCGAAAGAGGCAGGGACGACAGCGGCGCAAGAUGCUCCACGCGAUCGCGUUGCAGCCGCCAAUGGCAAUCCAGCGCAUGCCGCCGAAACGAACGCUGCCACUGCUGCUGCGACGGCGAGCACGAACAUGUGGCUGCCCAUCAUCACACGAGCCUGCCAAGAUGACGUGACGAGAGCAGUCGCGAAGGCUCGGCAGCAGCAGCAAGCGGAAGCGGCGCAGGGGACCGCGGCGAAUCAGGCCAGCGAGCGCGCGAGGAAGAGCCGAUGCGGUGCAACUUCUCCCUCUCUCCCUGCAUCACCUUUCGCUUCGUUGACCCGCGUGCGCUGUGAGGUCGCGGCCACGCUGGUACUGGGGCUGCUGCUCGACCCAUCAGCGGGCACACUGCGCCUGCGGCUCAACAACUACACCGACUUCGAGGAGAUCACGUUGGGCCUGUGGCUCGGCAGCGUAGCCGAAGCCACCGCAGCCACGGCAUCAGCUCCACCCCCACCACCGGCGCCGAAGCCUCGCCUCUACCCAGCCGCGACCCUGUCGCUAAACGAUUGUGGCUGGAGAAGCUGGCGUGACCAUCAAACACGCAAGUGGGCAAAGCAGCAGCAGCAGCAGGGGGUUCAGCCGACGGGACUGACGUCAGGCGAAAGGAGAGUCAGGCGCGCGCCAGUGGAAUACAGCGCGCCGCCCUCGUCAGCAUCGUCGCCGUCUUCGUUGCUAUCUGUAUCGAAUGCAGUGCUGCGUUUCAGCUUCGACGCGGCUGAGCUGCUGUUCGGACCCCCACCUCCCCGCCAAGCGGUAAGGAUCACGUCUGCUGACGCGAUCAUGCCUGCCGGGAAAGCCGCGCGCAUGUCUCAUCAGCAGCGGCGAGUCAGCGAACCGAUCGGCGCGAAGGCGCCGCACUCAGUGGUGCCGCCGUUCCAGGCAUCUCAGCCUAUCGCGCUGCUGGACAGCACGGUCAAAUUCACGGAGAUGCUUUCGGUGCUCACAGAUGUGUCACUUCUCGCGGCGACGAAGCGGAGCGGUGACAAGAAUCAGCAACAGCAGCAGCUGCACAGCCUCGGCCACGGCGAUGACGCGGCGGACGAGGACGAGGAGGGCGAGGUCGACGGUGUCGAUGCAACGGCGCCACAAGGUGCUGCGCCGCCGGCACAUUCGUCGCUGUUGCUUAUCGGCUCGCGCGAUCGCCGUACACACGCUGCGAUGAUGCGGGUGCAGCGUCUUCUGAACACUCCUGGAGGCGGUGCCACCGGCACAACAGCCGGAAGCAGCUCCGCCUUCAACAACAGCGACCCCGCGGACAUCUUUUACCCUCCUGUCCGCAUCUACCGGCACAGCUGCCACUGCCCUGCUCAUGAGCUCUAUCCGUUGCCAUCCUCCUCCUCGCUCGGCGCGGCCGACAAAGACGACGCUAGCGAGCGCAGCCGGCGCACACAGAAGUGCCAGCGGUGUCUAGCAAACCGGCGAAUCGGGCUUAGCAGCGCCGGCGAGACGUCAUCGCUCUUCUCAACCAACGUGUAUUGGCACGACAUCAUUCCCGAAAAUGCUCGCCUCACGCCGCUCUGCGCGGCACUCGCGUCGCGGCAGCGGGCCAUGGCGUACGUCAUCGCAACACACCCGCUCACGUGCUUCUGCAACCUCAGUGUCGACGAGGAGAGCGCCUGUGAUGCCUACGCGCGGCAGCAGCAGCCUCAGCAGCGCCGCGCCGCCCUCUACGCAGCGUGUGCGCUUGGCUACAUGGAAGUGGUACAAGUGCUUCUGGAGCGCAUUCCCGUGGAGGAGCUUCUCUCGUACUUUGGGCUUGUUAUCGAGAGCGAGGCGCGCGCGGCGCUACAGCGCUGCUACGCGGUGGCGAACACCGUUUUCUUGCGCAACUACCGACUCCGCUCACUCGCGACCCAGUCGCCGUCGUCGCCAAGCGGUGGCACUGCGGUCGAGACAUCGGCGCCAGCAGUGCCUUAUUUGUCGAAUGAAAGCCAGCGAGCCCUUCUCGACGCCUCCGCCAUCUACUACUCCUCACGGUCCACCUACACCCCGCUGCACGUGGCGCUUCUCGGCGUCGUGCUCGAGAACGGAGAUCAAGACGACGAGGGCGUAGAAGAAGGCAGCUACGUUGAUGUCGACACGGAGGAGGCGCGCAUGUCCUCGCUGAACGCGCGUCUCGGCAAGCAAACAGCCUGUGUAACGGUGUUGCUCAACUGCCUCUACGAUCUACUCUGUGUGGCAUCAGCAUCGAACACAACGGCGCGGAAGGCACAGAACACGGCAGAGCUAGUGCAUCCGCCGCACUCGACGAAGUCGCAUGGGCGAGAGGAAGAUGUGCUGGGGGGUGAGGCGCAAGCACGGCGGCCGUCUUCCGCAGGCCGAGAGCUCCUCGUCGACGCACUCAACCUGCAAAGCCCGACAGGCGAGGCUGCUCUUCUAAUCGCUGUCCGCCACAACAACGUCGCAGUCGCUCUUCGCCUCCUGAAGCUGGGCGCGCAGCCGGCUUGCAUGGAUCGCAUCACGAGGCUGCUCAGCCUCGAGCUUGCCUGUGCGAACCGCUGCACACCGAUUGCAGAGGCUCUGCUGCAGUCCCACAACGGCGGCGGCGCCGUGUACGCCACGUCGCCCGUCCUUCUGAAUCACGCCGGCAUCGCCACUGCGCUGUGCUGGUGCGCCAUCAACAACAUGCCCGCCAUCAUGCAGAAGCUCCUGGAGUGCGACGGGAUCGACGCGGAGAGCGGAUUCGAAGGUAGCUCCCCGCUGCACCUUGCCAUCGCGUUCGGCAGCGAGGCGGCCGCGCUGACGCUGCUCAACGGCACCCAACCGAGGAAAACAGCCACUAUCAGUGCGCGUAAGGGCUCAGGCGGCAGGGCAGAGGCGCCACCGGCAGCUCUUGUCGCGGCCGCAACCGCCGCACCCGACACCAAGACGGCAUCGUUAGCGGCAAAGCACGUGAACUGUGGCUCCAGUCAACGCGGUACCGCGGCACCGUCUGCCUCACCGGCGCGGCCAACAGAGACCGUCUCCGCGGCUGAGACACACAAGAAGCCCUUUAUGGAUGUCAACAUACUUCACGAGCGCACUCACUGCACACCGCUGCACCUCGCCUGCGAGCGCGGGCAACUGCGCAUCAUACGCACUCUUCUGCAGUCGUGGCACGCUCAGCUGAACAUCGCGGCCGCUUACACCAACUACACGCCGCUCCUCACGGCGGUGGCGAACGGCCAGGAAGAGGCGGCGCUUCGCAUCCUCGAGUACAGCAAGGACGAACUCCGCCGCGGCCGCGCAGUGCUGGAUCUCUGCGCGAUCGAUCAGCACGGCGACACCGCGCUGCACCUGGCUGCGAGUCGCGGGCUGAAUCUCGCGGUGGAGUACAUGUUGGUUCAGUUCAGUGAGGAGGAGGUGGCGCGGCUGGUAGCCCUGCAUCCCACGUUACGUGCAUCGCCUGCGUACCAGGCAGCGACAUGUAUAGUGCCCCUGCACGCUGUGAACAAGCAUGGCAAAACGGCCUUGCUCGUCGCUCUGCAGUAUAACCAAGCCGACACGGCCGAGCUGCUGGUGAGCAUGCUUAUCGACAGCGCGGAGACUCUGGAAGUGGGAGACGCCGCGGCGGCGUUUGGAGGUGAUGGUGGUCCCAAGGCGCCUACUGCGAUAACAGAUGCUGGAGAGGCGUCAUGCAGUACAUCUGCAGCCGCCGCUGCAUCGGCGCCCUCGCAGAUUGGUGGCCCUCUUAUCGAAGGUACCUGCAUGGCCCUGCACCAGGCGCACAGAAAGCAUCUGGACUCCGUGGUGCAGUUGAUGCUGUCCGCCCCGCCCAGCCUGUUUCCAUGCACCGCUGCAUUUUGCAAGUCGGUGCAGCUGUACAAGCAGCAGCAGGCGGACGGACGGCGCUCGGGGGCGCUGCUGAGGAGCGAGACGUGCGACGGCGACGUCCGUCCAGCCUUCGUUGCGGAUGCAAGCACUGUCCCGGUGCUGGCGAGUGAGCGAAACGAAAACGCGUCGCAGCGCAGCCCCGCGAUGGCGCAGGAUCGAGGCUCCUUCGUGCGCCUCCUCCUCACGCGCGCCGCCGGCCCCACCAUCGCGCCGAACGACGCUCUGCGCGUCCUGCUGCGCGGCUUCGCGCUCCCUGAGUUGUGCGUGUACCUCAGCGAAGUGGCGGCGGAGAGCGCCGUGCUGGGGGUGCAACGAAGUACAGCAAUGGCGGACGCGGAGCUCGUGAUUGGCUACUUGCAAGAGCACGCUGGCUCGGUGGUGGCGCCGACGCGGGCAGUUUUGUUCUGCCGCGACGUGUGGCUGUGUCUGCAGCAAUGGAUGUACAGUGAAGCGUCUGCCGAACGCGAGCGCGCCGCGGUAUCGCGCGCUCAUCACGCCUUUAGUAGUAGGACCACCGACUCCACUUACUCGCAGCUGUCGGUGGGCAUAGAGAAGGGCGGCGAGCGCAGGCAGAAGCAGCAACAGCAGUGCGAGCUCGAGGAGGCACCAAUGGGUUGGCUUUGCCGCAUGCUGCUCGUCCCCAAGUCCGGCGUUGGCAGUCACGCACAUGGUAAGGCUGCGCAACCGAAGUCGGCAUUGCCGGCGAGCGCGUCGAACUCCUCUGCGCUCUCUGCUGACGCGUCUAGCGCGGCGCAAGAGGCAGAGCACUACCGCCACGCCUUAGAGGCGACUCUGAACCGCAAAACGCUAAGUCUUGAGGUGGCGCGUAUGAUUCGCCUUUACGGCCGCUCUCACGGCGGCGCAAGGGCCAUCGAAGAAAUCAAGAGCAUCGUGGCAGCCUACGUGAGGGCACAUAUCAACGAACCUGCUGCGCACGUGAGGCUGACAACGGCGGCCGCCACAGCGGCUGCAGUGGCAACCUCGGCCACGCUGAGUAGCAGCAGCAAGCACUCCUCCUUUUCGGUGCGCACCCGCUCGAGGGCGCAGAGCUUCCGAGAUGUGGUCGAGCAGCAUGCCACAUGGAACAGGGACGGCACGGUGGACUUAGACGCAACGGAAAGAGAAUUCUCCGAUCGCAACUCCAUUGACGUUAUCGGCAACGAGCCGCUUUUCACGACGCCGAUGGGCUUCACCGUAUUGCAGCUGGCAGCCACGCUCGGCCUCCCGGAAGUUGUCGCGUUCCUCGUGGAUACUUACAAUCUGAACCCUUUGUACGCACCGGCGCAAGGCAUGCAUACGUGCGUCCCGCAAUCAACGACGCCGCCGCCGCAGGCCAACCGCUCCAAAGAGGGAACGCGGAAAGAAGAGGCUGCGCGGGUGCGUAACGUCGUCGUGCACAGCGUGCGCGCCGUCGUCGGAGUGGCUUCUCCGUGCGCAGGCCGCGGUGACUACGGCGGCGCCAAUGGCAGUGCUGGCAAGAGCAGGGAGGAUGCCGGCUUGUGGAUCUGCUGGACUCCGUACCGCCUCGCCGUGCGCUCCGGCAACCUGCACAUUGUCAAGACUCUCCUGCUGGCAGGCAGCGGCGCGGCACCCGCGGUUGCGGAAAUCAACCCCCGGGAGCUAUGUGGCACCAGCACCUUGGCCCGGCUUUCGCACUCGGACAGGCACGUCGAAGACGGCGUUACUUUCAGCGGCGCAGGCGCGACGGUCUCGACGGCGAUCUGCCCUGCUGCUUCUCUUGUCGACUACAAGGAGCCGGCGUGGCUCGACCCAUAUCAGCGGACAGCGCUUCAGGAGAGCAUUGUGGUAGCGACAAGGUGUGGCAGCGGUGCCUCGGGCAGCGACUCGCUUGUAGACUCUCUCACCUUCACCGCCUCCGCCGGCUUGUCGUCUUCCAGUGUCGUGACCAAGACCGCCCCUUCGCUGUCAGAGGCUUUGGCGCUGGUGCGCCUGCUGCUGAAGCACGGUGCUCAGUCGAACGGGCUCUUCGACAGCACCGGCAGUGAUGCCUGGCUGCUUGCCAUGGCCGGCAGCGGCGCAGCUGAUCUGCCCAUCACGCACUACAGCUACGCAGCCGACUGCAAGCGCAGGCCGUACAGCGCUGGCUCUGAAGCGUCCCUCUCUCAGCUCUCCUUAACGGGGGCGUCUGCGCCAGCGACGGCGUCGCUGGCGUUGAUCCGGACGACUGCUGGCGAGGCGGCUGGGCAGCGGUGUGUCGACUUGCUCCGCCUCCGCGCUCCGUUGCUGGGGUGUGCGCCGGCAACUCUGCGUCGCGCUGACACUCACCUUGAUGGCAGGCGCCUCGACGGACCGCAGGAGAGCGCUGAGAGCGACUGCUUCAACGAGCAGCUUCUGCGCCACCCACGCCGCCUCCUGCACCAGUGGCGACGUCUGCCCUGCAUGCAGCUCGCGCCUACCAGAGCAGCUGCCGCAGGAUUUGCUCGAAGAGGCCGGCGGGCCGCAGGCACCGUUGGAAACGUCCACGACGGCAGCGGCAGCGACGAAGGCAACGACGCUGCGGGCGAGGAUGGCGACGGCGCCGCCGCUCAGGGCUACUCGGUGUUCGAGCAAGCGGAUGCCCUGUGUGCGCAGUACGAGAAGGUACAGCAGACCCUGCACCCGAGUGCCGCGAUGGCCAUUCCACGCGUCGGUGGCGGGGUGAGGCCGUGCACCCCCUCACCGCAGGCGACGGCGCUUGCUACAACAGUCUCCUUCGCAUCUCUCUUGACCAUCACCUCGGCGGAGGAGGUAACCCUCUUGCCAAGCGCCGUGGCUCCAGGGGGCGCGGUAACGCUCAACCGCAGGGUGCUGGCGGGCGGAUCUGUGUCAAGGACAAACAGCGUCGCGGGAAGAGAGACCGGGACGUCGCCGCUCACGCCGUCCUUCUCGGCCGAUUCACUGAAGACGCGACUCAUCGCGGCGCUGCGGCUUUGCUACCGCGUCGUCCUUCUCUACACAUGCGUGGAGUACACACCGCUGCAGCUUCUCCGACUCGUGCGCGCCUUCGGCGCGGCGGCAAUCCCGGUAAGUGCGCGUCACCCACUAAGCGGCGACAGCGUCGCUACACGACUGCUGCGCAAGACGCACGCUCACCUGCUCGCCAGGACAAGUGGAGGCGGCGGCGGUGGCGACAGCAGCACCAGCAACACUCUACGCGGGGAGCUCGGGAGCGAUGCUGCGUCUGUUAUGAUGCGCGGCGCCGACGACAUGUCGCAGCUGCCGCUGAGUGUGCUGAAGGAGCCGCCGUGCACCGACGACCCGGCCGCGGAUGCAGAGACGCGCGCCUUGGUGGACACGUGUGUGGCGCUGGUGCACAUGCUCCGCGACGCUGCCCUACGUCUGCCCUCACCUCCGUCAGCGCCACAGUCGCAAGCGGCAGCCACGGCGGCCGGGCAAGCACUGCGCUCGGUGCUCUUCCAGCCCUCGUGUGACGGGGAGACCGCGCUCUCCUUGGCCGCGCGCAUCGCCCACGCGCCGCUCAUCUCUGUCCUAGUGCAGAGCGGGGCAGCCGUAUCCUCGGCUUCUCACAAUCGCAGCCAAGGCGGAGAUGAGUCGUGGCGCUGCUCGCGCACAACGUGCAGCGUGCCUUGGCGAGGCGACGGCAGUGACACCGAGGCAGGUGGUGAGGGCGGUGUUGGCGUGUACGACGUCUCCGGGAUUCCGGUCACCUCUAACUGCUCCCUGAGCACGAAUCUGGCCGACGUCGUGGUACGAGUGCUGCUCGCCACCCGCGUCUACUACCCUGCGCAUGAGAUCGGCACCGUGCGUGCCUUGCUCACGCAUAUGCCGAACGAGCCCGCGCGGCGAGCCUUCCUGCGGGGUGUGUACCCGAACAUCCACCCACUGCCAGCGCUGCAGCUUGCGAUGGACAACGUGAGCAUCGCAUCGGGCUUCCUGACGAGCCCUGACUGCAUGAACGCGCUCUGGACGAAUCUGUUGUACGCGCACUUCACGGGCCAGCUGGACACCGCCGUGCGGACGACGGCAAAGGCGUGGAGCGAGCUGCUGCACGUCGUACUUCCGGGGGCGCCGGCAGUGCCAAUUUACCUCGUCAUGUGCGCCGCCGUCCGCGAGGAGGUGAGUGCCGAGGAGUUGAAGGCGUCUCACAGUGGUGUGCGUGCACAGAGCCCGCAGGUGACGCCAUCGCCGCCGCAGUCGCUUGCCGGCUCGACGAGAUCGUCGAGCAUGGUAAAGAAACGGUCAAAGGAACGCACUGUGCCAUCGGCGAUACCGAACUGGUCUCAUGUUGUGCGCCGCACGAACCUCUUCCUGCAGCUCAUGGCCAUGUCUGCAGCUGAGACGCUCAUGAGCAAGGGCAGCAAACCAUCGUCGCACGUGUCGGCAGAUGCGAGAACUCUCUCCUCUACUGCCGCGGCAGCCUCUGGGAGUGGGCAGCGCACCAAGAGCGCGUCGUCACCGCUGCACGAGGUGACAAAGAAAGGUAGUUUCGCUGCGUUGACGGAUGUUGGCGAGCCUCCAUUGCAUGGGCUGUCUGGCACCUUGUUGUGGGACACCAUCGAGCUCGCCGUGCGCUACGACGACAAGGACAUGUUGCGGCACCUCUUGCAGCUUCGCCUGCCAGACAUCGUGCUCACGCACAUCGGCAACAUCCAGUCCCAGCAACAGACGCUGUCGUCGACCGGCACCUUUGGAAGGGCAUACUCGUCCAUGGACGUGAGCGCGCGUGCAAUGGAGGCGGUUUCGAAGACCAUUCUCGACAGCUACCCGUCCUUUGCCGGCGUGAGCACCACGUCGCAGGCAACGCUCGUGCUCGAGCGGCUGCAGCGCCUCCUCUGGCGCGAGGCACUGCAAGAGCGUCAUGUCGACCUGCUUGCGGUCGCCGCAGGAAGCAUCGAAACGCUGCGGUUCCUGUACACGUCCUCACCCCCUGAGGUGCGCGCACAGAUGACCCCGAUGCGCUAUGACCGCGUAGACGUGAAGAGCGGGAUGCCGGAGGGCGUGUCGCCUGCGCCAGACAUCGUGGCCCCCGCCGCGGCAGUGCCCGCCGGAGCCGAGGAACUCUUGGGGUCCUUUCAGAAGUUAAGGAAGUCAAGUUCUGCACGGGUCGGCAGCGGCGUGAUGUCACCGUCGCCGCAGGUCUUUGUUGUUUCGUCAAAGGUGGAGACGCAUGCGACAGCCGCGCACCAGCUUACGAAGACUCCCUUCUCCGCUAGCACCGCGUCCGCCACGCCUUCAGCGGAUGGCGUGGCUCGGUUGGCCGUGCUGACUCCGGAAACGCCGACCUCGCCCGUCUCGCCAGCGGCGAAGCGGACAUCGCCAGCACUGGCUGUGGACAUUGUAGAGACGCCCGAUGAGCGAAGCCUCACACUGCCACUCGCAGACGCGCCGCUACUACAACCCAAGGCGAGCGAGGAUAAGGAGGAGGAGAGUGCCGCUGCCGUCGCGGAUGCUGAGCUGCGCUUCAUGGAAAGCUGCGUGCAGAACGGACGCCGUCGUCUCGCCCCGGGCGAAGAGCGACGCCGGUGCGUAACAGCGGUGACAUGGGGCCUCGGCGCGGCUGCCUGCUCAGUGAAGCUGCCGAUGGUCCAAUCCAGCGCGAGGGCCGUGUCGGCCUCCACCGCGGGCACCGCCGAGGCGGCCACCGCGCCAGGUACACGAGUAGAGGUGCAGCCGCGCCGCACACCGUCACUACUACCACAGCUGCCGCGGCCGCCCGCUCAACGCCGCAUCACCCUAGAUGGCAAGAUUGGUGAUGUUGGCCCCGUUAAAGACAGCCACCAGGCAAUCGCCGAUGGGGAGAAGACUGCAGCGCGACAGGUCGUGCAGCGCCGAGGGCGGGCGAAGACUUCGCUUCCCACGAAGGCAUCGGCUGCAGCGAAGGAGGCUAGCGGGCCGGCACCGUCCAGUCCAACGCCGCCGGCGGUGGUGGAGCCAGAGCCGGUCUACUUCAUGUACCUCCAGCUUGAUUGGGCUCUACAUUCGACUCGGCUCCUUCGCUCGCCUCGCCCCUCCAGCGCCACGCUCGAGACAAUCAUGUUCCUGCUGGAUCAGCGAGUGGCUCUCUCGGUGCCCGUACUUGACCUCUUCCUGGCUGGCACCGUCGCCCCCAGCAGCGCCGAAGCAGCGGCGCCACAGCAGCACUCCAGUGAUGCGUAUGCGCGGCAGGAGGUCGCCCUCAGCCUUCGCUACCAGACCCGGGCACAUCUUGACACGCUGCUCCACCUGCUUGUCCUUCACGACCAGUGCCAGCUGGCGGAGUACUACCUCGAGUACUGUCAUUUCUGGUUCGUGUCCAAUGAGCUUGACCCAGAGCCAGUGAGCGGGCGGCCGGGUCGCUUCCCAAUCGGCCAGCCUCCCGCGUCGCCCGACGGCGAUUCUAGCGAGGACGACCUCAACGAUGAUGACGCUCACCUGUGUAGCGAUGUCAGGUAUAUCGGCCAUGACAAGCAGAAGCGAAGCACGCGUUCGAGCCAGCAGUUUCGGCAUCGCUCUCGCGGCUCCUCUUCCUCGGCGUACGCCGGGACCGUGCCGCGCGAGUUUCUGCGGUGCAUGCUCCGAGUGAACGCGCACGGGCUGACCGCCUUCGACUAUGCUCAUACGCCGGCGAUGCUGCAGCUUCUCGAGUGGUACGGCUGCGUGCCGCCCACGUACCGGCCAAACCCGCACGCCUUCCGACGAGUUGUCUUUCUCAACCGCGGAGGGCAUGGUGACGUGAGGGAAGCGUACACUUUCGCGGACAACAUGGAUGAUCACGACAACGACGAAGCGGUCGAUCGGCGACAAUCUGCAAGUGUUAGGACGUCGAUGAUGGCGCGUCGCAAACGCGAGGUACUGCGUUUCUUCCCUGUGCCGCGCCUGGUCCUGGCGACCGACAACUUUGUGGCGCUGCUGGACCCCACCGGCACAGAGCUGGCGUCCACAGUCGGCUCCGUGGCGACCGCCCAAGCGCGCACCGCUGCCUCGGGCACCGCAGAUGGAAGGCGCUGCAAUGGUGAGGAUGACGCGGACGAGAGUCUCGCCAAGAAUGAAGUUCUGGUGUCGACCCGCACGCAACCGCUGCAGCUGAGCGAUCGCCGCAUAGACGCCAUGAUCAGCACGGAGCGGCGACAGCUGCAGGUAAGCGAGCGGCGCCACCACCAGCAGGAGCGCGCCAGGGCGCUUCUGUUUGAGCAGGUCGCUGCGCAGUCCCAAGCACUUGUCACGCGCAGAGGUGGAAAAAGCGGUGGAGCAGACGAAUCGGUGAGAGAUGGCGCGCUGCCGUACCUGACGCGGGCCGUGACGGCUCACCGGCGCCAGCAGUGGGAGUUGCAGCGGCACCCGCCUUGCAGCAAGAUGACGCUGUGGCACAACGCCCUUGAAGCGCAGCGACUGUCUGGGUCCGCCUUCACCGCGACAUCGUCUCGCGGACGACUGAAGCGGCGAGCCGAGGGCGGCGCUCGUGGCAGCAACGGUGGUGGCGCUGGCGUUCUUCCAAUCCUGCUCAGCGAGGAGGUGAGCCUACUGCACCUCGGUCUGUGCUCUUUCGAAGAUGAGCUUGUUCGCCUCUACGGCGAACUCCACACGGCUUCUGCAUCCGCAUCAGCAGCUGGCAACGAGGACACCAGUGGCGCUGCACGCGCGCAUCGCACAGUCGGCGAGGAAGGUGGGGCCAUCAGCGACGGCGACAACGCCGCCUCUGUCCUGAGCGCCUACAGCCGUCUGCUGCUGCCGCCGUCGGUCACUGACAAGCCCGCAACGCACCCGCACCAAGGCCUCGAGGAAGUAAAGCGGAGCUACGGCAUGAUGUCUGGAGACGCCCCGCCAGAGACGGACAAGUCAAACAGCUCACCCAGGACGAAGGCGAGCCGCACUGGCUGCACCGUGCUGCCUCGUGUUUCGUUCCCAGGUGGGUCGAUUGGGGGCGCGUUGUCGCCGACGCAGCAGGGCAACAAGCCCUCCUCCGUCUCCGCCGCGAACGCCUUCAUGGCGGCUUCGCAGGACUUCCGAUCGUGCGGUAGGGCACCGGCACUGCCGCCUCGGCUGUCGCAGAUGGAUGUGGUGUUCCUCCUCGAGUGUCAGCAAUUUGUGGUGUACCCACUCUCGAUGCCCAGCACCGGCGACGCCGUGGAGGUGGUCAACGACGGCGGCGACGACACCUACGACGAGAGCAGCAAGCCACGCAGCAGCGCGAAAGGCGGCGGGGGGCUCAGCGACAGCAUUGGCAACUCCAGUCGCACCCCCAGCAAUGACGAAGGGAAUGUCGCGCCCCCUCGUCUAUCUCUUGGGAAGGGGGCGGCCAGUUUCAGCGAGUUACCUGCCGUGAUCGAGCGGUGCACCGGCGGUAGCAUCGGCACGGACGAGCAACGUGUAAAAGGGGCUGGCAAGGACGCGCCGCGUCAGCGCGCACCGGCCCUCGCAACAACAACGCGUGACAUCGCUGGUCGCUCUCCUGCUUCCCCACACAGAUCACCCGCGCGUCGCGAGCAUGGGGACAGGAUACGUGAUGCGCCACCGAGCGACUUGCCGCUGCUACGCUCUCUUCUGGCGCGCAAGGCCGCGGAUGAUCUGUCGUCGGAGCUGAUCGACGUCUCGGCGCACCGCUACGAAGCGGCGCUGCUGGUGUCCCUCACUCCAAUGCUACUCUCCGGCAUCAGCGGCGACGGCGCUCCUGGGGCUCGCGUUUCGGCGGCCGCGACAAUGAGGAACUUGGCGGCCAAGCUCAUGCACACGCGCUGGAAACAGUUCGGCAGCCGGCCCAUCAUCUCAGGCACCAACACCGAUGCCGCGACCACUGCGACAGAGGCGGUGGCGCUACUGAACGUGCCCCCGUUCACUCUAGCUGACGCUCCGGCGCUGUACCCGAGCGGGGCCCCGUUUUCAGCCUCACCAGCGGCAGAUGAGCCCGGAUCGGUGGCGUCGACGACAGCACUAGGCGCUGCCGCAGCACGUGUGCCAACCGUCAUAGCGGCGCGACUAGAAGAGUGGGUAGCGCGUCGCUGGCCCCUGCAAAGACAAGCACCGCCCUCCCCGAAGUUGCACAGGAAGGCUGGCGGUCGAGCAGGCACGACAUCUUCGCGAUCGCCUCCCACAAAGACGAUUAAAGCCUGCAGGCAGGAGAACGAGGACGAGAACACACAGGACAGAAACGGCGUUGAUGCGGACGGCUACGACGACGAGUCAGCGGCCACGUCGGUGCUCGAUCGGAUAGAACCCGUCGGCGGAGUUGCCACAGCGGCUCAGCAAGUCCUCAUGCGUGCGUUGCUGAAGCGCUUUACCGCCGCGACAGGUGCGCAGCUGUCUGAGCAGAUGGGGCUCGUCAUCACUCCCAACUACGAUGUCGCCGAGGUCGGCGACACAGCGGCGGCGCUGCGAGACAUCGAAGCGAAGGUCGCCGCACCGGCGGCGGCGCGAAAGAAGCGGCGAUAAGAAACUCGGAAAAUGAAAAGUAGACGCGCGUAUGUGCCUGCGCGGAUGGGCGUGAGGAGGCGGUAUCCGUUCCUUGCCGCUCUCGCUUUUUUUUUUGACGUCGUUGUGUUUGCAAUCUCGUGCGACAUGUCGGCGAGGUGAUGGCGUCCGUCACGAGAGGAAGCCACCGUCUGGCUCUUCACGCCGUAGGUGCCCUCCCCUGCCCUUUUCUCUUUCCGCUUGUACGCUGCCGCCUCACUCUCUCUCCAUGUACACAUAGCCGUAGUCUGUCGCGUGCGCGCUCAAUGCAUAGCAACGGCAUACAUGUGCCAAAGAAC